rnacentral:rRNA from 1 species
CAGCCGCCACGGUAAUACGAGGGGAGCUAGCGUUGUUCGGAAUUACUGGGCGUAAAGCGCGCGUAGGGGGCUUUUUAAGUCAGAGGUGAAAGCCCGGGGCUCAACCCCGGAAUUGCCUUUGAAACUGGAAAGCUAGAAUCUUGGAGAGGUCAGUGGAAUUCCGAGUGUAGAGGUGAAAUUCGUAGAUAUUCGGAAGAACACCAGUGGCGAAGGCGACUGACUGGACAAGUAUUGACGCUGAGGUGCGAAAGCGUGGGGAGCAAACAGGAUUAGAUACCCCUGUAGUCCCUGUCUCUUAUAC